UGUCCUGGAUUUGGGAGCGCCCAGAAACCUGAGAAUACCCCUUGGAGAUACUUAUUUUAUUGAUGGUUCAUCAAAGGAUAUAAGAUGGUUUCGUGGGCCUGGAGAGAUGGCUCAGCAAGUAAGAACACUGACUGCUCUUCCAGAGGUCCUGAGCUCAAAUCCCAGCAGCCACAUGUUGGCUCACAACCGUCUGCAAUGAGAUCUGAUGCCCUCUUCUGGUGUGUCUGAAGACAGCUACAGUGUACUCAAAU
rnacentral:lncRNA from 1 species